rnacentral:misc_RNA from 1 species
GAUGAAGAACGCAUUGAAAUGCGAUAAGUAAUGUGAAUUGCAGAAUUCAGUGAAUCAUCGAAUCUUUGAACGCACAUUGCGCCCGUCAGUAUUCUGGCGGGCAUGCCUGUUCGAGCGUCAUUACGCCCCUCAAGUCCCCUGUGGACUUGGUGUUGGGGAUCGGCGAGGCUGGUUUUCCAGCACAGCCGUCCCUUAAAUUAAUUGGCGGUCUCGCCGUGGCCCUCCUCUGCGCAGUAGUAAAACACUCGCAACAGGAGCCCGGCGCGGUCCACUGCCGUAAAACCCCCCAACUUUUUAUAGUUGACCUCGAAUCAGGUAGGACUACCCGCUGAACUUAAGCAUAUCAAUAAGCGGAGGA